rnacentral:rRNA from 1 species
UACGGGGGGGGCAAGCGUUGUUCGGAAUUACUGGGCGUAAAGGGCGCGUAGGCGGCCAGCACAAGUCAGUUGUGAAAUCUCCGAGCUUAACUCGGAACGGUCAACUGAUACUGUGCGGCUAGAGUGCGGAAGGGGCAACUGGAAUUCUUGGUGUAGCGGUGAAAUGCGUAGAUAUCAAGAGGAACACCUGCGGCGAAGGCGGGUUGCUGGGCCGACACUGACGCUGAGGCGCGAAAGCUAGGGGAGCGAACGGG